rnacentral:lncRNA from 1 species
CACACCAAGGAAUGUGAUUGCUGGAUCCUAUGCAGCGAUGAAUGAGAGUUCCUGUUGCUCCAGAUCCUCUCCAGUAUUUGUGUUGUCAGUGUUCUGGAUUUUGGCCAUUCUAAUAGUGCUCACUGAGACGCAUUCAUUCUGCUUCAAAAUGGCAUCAGUCACGGGAAGGUUAAAGGACUCUUCCAGGCUUCACAGGGCAGCCUUUUAUUUCUGCUCCUGGGAGGUAGGAACAGGCUGAUCACAGGUGGGAAACACACCUACAGGAUAUACGUCAUCACUGACAGAAGAAAAAAGCAGUGAAAGACACUGGAGUCCAGCAUGCCUGAAGGCCAACAUUUCUAAACCCCCUCCUUACUGCCCAUUUUCCCUAUGUAACUGCUUCAAGAUUCUGUAAUCCUGGAAGAUGGUUUUCUUGUGACGUGAGUCUGCCAUCUUCCUGAUUAUGCUGGCUAAUCGAAUUAAAGCUUCC